rnacentral:rRNA from 1 species
AUUGAACGCUGGCGGCAGGCCUAACACAUGCAAGUCGAACGAGUGGCGGACGGGUGAGUAAUGUCUGGGAAACUGCCUGAUGGAGGGGGAUAACUACUGGAAACGGUAGCUAAUACCGCAUACCAUCAGAUGUGCCCAGAUGGGAUUAGCUAGUUGGUGGGGUAACGGCUCACCAAGGCGACGAUCCCUCUCUGGUCUGAGAGGAUGACAAGACACACUGGAACUGAGACACGGGCCAGAGUACUACGGGAGGCAGCAGUGGGGAAUAUUGCACAAGGGGCGGAAGCCUGAUGAAGCCAUGCCGCGUGUAUGAAGAAGGCCUUCGGGUUGUAAAGGACUUUCAGAGGGGAGGCGUUACCAGCAGAAGAAGCACCGGGUAACUCCGUGCCAGCAGCCGCGGUAAUUC